CUAACAAGGAUUCCCCUAGUAACGGCGAGUGAAGCGGGAUGAGCUCAAAUUUGUAAUCUGGCGGCCUGUGGUCGUCCGAGUUGUAGUCUGGAGAAGCGUCUUCCGCGUCGGACCGUGUACAAGUCCCUUGGAACAGGGCGUCGUAGAGGGUGAGAAUCCCGUCUUUGACACGGACUGCCGAUGCUAUGUGAUGCGCUCUCGAAGAGUCGAGUUGUUUGGGAAUGCAGCUCAAAACGGGUGGUAAAUUCCAUCUAAAGCUAAAUAUGGGCGAAAGACCGAUAGCGAACAAGUACCGUGAGGGAAAGAUGAAAAGCACUUUGAAAAGAGAGUCAAACAGUACGUGAAAUUGUUGAAAGGGAAACGCUUGAAGUCAGUCGCGUCUCUUGGGACUCAGCCUUGCUUUGUUGCUUGGUGUAUUUCCUGAGGYGACGGGCCAGCAUCGAUUUUGACCGUCGGAGAAAGGCCUUGGGAAUGUGGCACCCUCGGGUGUGUUAUAGCCCUCGGUCGCAUGCGACGGUUGGGAUCGAGGAUCGCAGCACGCCUUCAUUGGCCGGGGUUCGCCCACGUAACGUGCUUAGGAUGCUGGCGUAAUGGCUUUAAGCGACCCGUCUU
rnacentral:rRNA from 1 species